rnacentral:sRNA from 1 species
AGAGGCAGGGGAAAACCACGCAGAAGCAGGAGCUGAAGACCUCAGACCGGCACCAGGGACAGCUUAAUGAAGACAAACUGAAGGGGAAACUGAGAUCCUUAGAAAACCAGCUGUACACCUGUACCCAGAAAUACUCCCCUUGGGGAAUGAAAAAAGUACUACUGGAGAUGGAAGACCAGAAAAACAGCUAUGAGCAGAAGGCCAAGGAGUCACUGCAGAAAGUGCUGGAGGAGAAAAUGAAUGCAGAGCAGCAACUACAGAGCACACAGGUAUGGGGAUGCCACAUAGACAUGGGGCUGAGGACUCCAGACAGCUUGGGGAACAAGGAAGCCAGCUGCACAACUCCCUGGAACUCUCUCCUCUCUGAUCUCCACCAGCGAUCCCUGGCCCUGGCAGAGCAGAAGUGUGAAGAGUGGAGGAGCCAGUAUGAGGCUCUGAAGGAGGACUGGAGGACCCUUGGGACCCAGCACAGGGAGCUGGAGAGCCAACUCCACGUGCUUCAGUCCAAACUGCAGGGAGCAGAUAGCAGGGACUUACAGAUGAACCAGGCCCUGCGAUUUUUGGAAAAUGAGCACCAGGAACUGC